rnacentral:rRNA from 1 species
GAUGAACGCUGGCGGCGUGCCUAAUACAUGCAAGUCGAGCGAACAGACGAGGAGCUUGCUCCUCUGACGUUAGCGGCGGACGGGUGAGUAACACGUGGAUAACCUACCUAUAAGACUGGGAUAACUUCGGGAAACCGGAGCUAAUACCGGAUAAUAUAUUGAACCGCAUGGUUCAAUAGUGAAAGACGGUUUUGCUGUCACUUAUAGAUGGAUCCGCGCCGCAUUAGCUAGUUGGCAAGGUAACGGCUUACCAAGGCAACGAUGCGUAGCCGACCUGAGAGGGUGAUCGGCCACACUGGAACUGAGACACGGUCCAGACUCCUACGGGAGGCAGCAGUAGGGAAUCUUCCGCAAUGGGCGAAAGCCUGACGGAGCAACGCCGCGUGAGUGAUGAAGGUCUUCGGAUCGUAAAACUCUGUUAUUAGGGAAGAACAAAUGUGUAAGUAACUAUGCACGUCCUGACGGUACCUAAUCAGAAAGUCACGGCUAACUACGUG